ACUCAGUGGUGUCCCCGGUGAGCAGGCCCGGCUCCAGGCACCAGGCAACCAAGCACAUGCUUGGGGCGGCACCUGGAAAUACAUUCUGCCGAAGAGGUGCUGCAGUUACGUCUUUCACGCACUAGAGGUUGCUGUGGCACCAGAACAGAGGGAAGCUGCUCCUGAAUGGGAGCAGCCCUAUGUGGAUAGGGAGGAGAAGAGGCUGCAUUUCUCACAGAACCCUGCCCAUGGGGCCAGUGUGGAAGAUCAUCCUGGUUUUCAGCGAAGAGAGAGACUGAGGCUGGUUCUGAUUUUUCCAGACUGAUUUGUCUCACUCUUUUUGAUGUCCACAGUUUUAAAAGCUACAUUAUGACAUGAUGGGAUGUGGGAAAAAUAGAAAGAAGUCAUUCAGUUAUGUAAGGCCAUUUGUUUGCAAAGUAAUGAAAGGGAAAGUGGAAAAGUUCAACUCCUCAACUGGAGAAUAGCCUUGAAAAUUGAAGCAACAUGUUUUUAUAAAAUCUAUAGCCAAUCAGAACAGAUAAAAGUAUCUGUGUGUAUUUUGCUUUUUAUCAAAUAUCUUACUCACAUGAAACCAUUAUCACUGAAGUAAAAAAACAUAUGCUGUAUUGUACCCAAGAUUGCUACAAACUAUAUGUUGGGUUUUUUUAGACUGUUACGGCAUACAUUUGUUAUUUCUUUCCCCUCUCCCGGUGAUGAUUUUCAAAGAGGAUAUAAAGUUUAUCAGUGAACCAGAGAGAGUUCCAUUCUUUGCUACGGUGGAGGGGAUGGAACAUUAUAGAUAAAUUAGUCUAGAUGCAUUUGAAAUGAAUCCCAUUUUCCAGUCUUUAUUACAUACUGUGCAUUACUAACAAAUACCAGGAAUGAUAAACAAAAGCCUUUUCAACCUUUAAACAUACACAGAGCCAAAUAAGAGUUUAACCAACCCCCUAAAAUGAAAGUAUACAACAUAAAACAAGAAACUCUGGCUGGCUUCAGGACAAUUUGAGGGAUAGCGUCCAUUUUGGAAGUGUAACACUAAUAAUUUUGAGAGAAUGUUGGACAUUAAAAAACAGGGACCAGCCAUGUUCUUCAUUUGUCCUUUCGCCCUUAAACUAAAAUGAUUCUCAAAUGUUAUAGAGAUACAGAUAAAAAUGCUCAGGCCCAAAUUGGCCCCUCAUGAUCUGGGCAGUGACAGACAUCUGUCCAGGGAUCUCCCUCUUUCAUAGUGAGACACAGGGAUGUGCUGCCUCCAUGGCAUCGUUCAGUUGCACUAAUGGAGUGCCCCUUCACCACGGCUCAGCAGAGAUGAUCUUAGUGGCAAGAAGCAGAACAAGGAUGAAGCUGGGUCAGAAAGGGUGUAGGUGCAUUGCAGGUGGUCACCUCACAGAUUACGAUGUGGAAAUUUGAGCAGGAGGUAAUUUAGCUGGGAAUUAUAUUACCUUCCUCUGGGUCCCCUCUGAAAAAAAAGCUGCAGGGUGGUCUCAGCCAACAAUAUUUGAUUUGAUACAGUUAGGGCCCCAGCAGAAGCUCUGUUACCAGAGAGGAGAUGACAGUUGUGGAGCACUAGCCAUCCCUCCAUAAUAACGCUGCAUGGAAAGGGGCCUGGCAUAUGGAGGCAUGAGACCUACUGGAUCCAAGACACCCCCAACCUCUCCUUCCAGAGACAGUAGCUGAAGUUUUACUACAGGAGGAGGCAUUCUAGGUAGCUAAGUAUUGAUGGGAUUGCCCAUCACCAUGGUAUCAGAGCACAAUAUUCUUGAUUCAAUCCUAUUGUGAAAGUCUAUUUGUGCAUACUCCUUGGUGUGUCUGUCUCUUUUUAAGUCUGACCUUCACUGCAUGAAAAAGCAAUUUCAAACCUAAAAAUAAUUGUGGAGCGGUAAAUGCUCCUUGCCAUCUUUUCUUAAUUUCCUUUGAAAUGAAUGUAUUAAUAUUAAUUUUUGCCAUCCUCAGUUCUUAUCGAUUUAUGAACCAAUUUGCCUUGUAGGAACUGCUGCUUUUAAGAUGUGCAGAUUGGCUGCCUUUGAUAAAUCUGGCACAGUAUCUCAGGGAUAGUAAUUUUUCAUUCUAAAUAGUCACGUAUUGCUUGCUUGCUUUAUUUCUUCUGGUUAAAACUAAAUCAUUCUGAACCAAAUAUUAAACAAUGAUGGUCCCGAGGUCCCUUACUUGACACGUACUACAGAUGGCAAUCUUUUGUAUUUAGGUAGUUAUACCACAAUAAAUAGGACAAUAAAUAUUCUAAGAUAAUCAUUGGGGUCUGCUUGUCAGUUAUGUACUUGCCACAGUGGGUCAAUCUCUUUCAUGUUAUUAUUAGAAGUGAGAGACAUAUGUGCCUUUGUUAUCUGAAUUUGCUAAGGUACCAGGCCAUAUCAGUUCUGAUAAGUGUCAGAGACUGGGACAUGGACAGUCAUGCCUACUGAUUAAAGCAGGAGUCAGUAGUCAGCCCAGGAUCAGAACCCGAGUCAGAGGCUAGACACUAGAUGCAAGGAUCAGAGCCAAAGUCAGGAAUCAGAGCUGCGGGUCAAAGCCAGGUUGCCUGAAGUGAGACGAGGCCGGGAUAAGGUUGGGAACAAGCAGACAGAGGAGUGAACACAGCCUUGGAUAAAUGCUUUGAGCAGCCAUCAAACUGCUGUUACGCCUGGGCUUAAGAGCUGAUCUCCUGACUCUUCCCCCAAUCAGGCGGUGUAGCCAAACAAGCAGCCUAUUAAAGGCCAGCUGCAUGCUUUAGGUUGCCUGGAGACUUGCUCUGCUGCAGGCCCUGAUUCCUGACAAUAAGUGAAAAAAUUAAGAAAACAAUUU